GUGGGAUGGCCUCGGCCUCGUCUGUGGCAGAGCCCAGAGGGGCCCUGAGGGGUGUCCUGAUGUCCCUCCCGGCCCUGGGCCGUGUCCUCGCGCUCCAGGAGGGUCUGGAGGGACGUCCUCGUGUGUGACAAGGACCGAGGGGGACGAGGGGCUGGAGGGACACGAGGGACAUCACGACGUCCAUCCUGACUUUGUCUUGUGUCACUGUGUGGGACAAGGGCCGGGGGGAUCCAGCCUGGGUCCCUCCCCCGUGUCCCUUGUCCCCCCCGGUGGCCCUUGGGGACAUUGAAGCUGGUUCAGGUCCCUCCUGGUGUCCCUCGUCCCCCCUGAUGGCCUUUGACCACCCUUGGGGACAUCAGGGCAGGUUUGUGUCCCUCUCCAUUGUCCCUUGUCCCUCUUGGUAGCCCCUGCCCACCCUUGGGGACACUGGAGGUGCUUUGGGGUCCUCCCUGAUGUCCCCAAGGGUGGCCGAGGGCCAUCAGAGCUGGGUUGUGUCCCCCCCAUGUCCCUUGUCCCUCCUGGUGGCCCUUGGGGACAUCAGAGCCGGUUGGAUCCCUCUCCGGUGUCCCUUGUCCCUCCUGCUGUCCCUUGUCCUCCCUUGGGGACACUGGAGCCUGUCUGGGUCCCUCAGCCCUGUCCCUCGUCCCUCCCGGUGGCCUCUGCCCUCCCUUGGGGACACCGGGGUCCCCUCAUGUCCCCCACCUCCCCUUGGCCCUGCUGGUGUCCCCCAGCCACCCCUGGGGACACCGGGGCUGGUUUGUGUCCCCUCAGCUCUGUCCUUGCCCCGCGGUGGCCCUUGGGGACACUCCUGGCACUAUAAACCGUCUCUUGUCCCUCUGG